UGUUGGUACGUUGUCGAUUCUGGUCAGGUCCUGUUCGUCAUCUGAUACCUUACCGUCACCUCUCGCCACGUUUCCCUGAGGAUCUGGAGUCACCCACACAUUAGUAUCAUCUGGAUGGAAAGGAAGAGGGGAAGAUGCACACUGAUGCCCGAGUGGGAUCGUUUACAAAGUUCAGAGGACCCUGCCUGUAGAGCUCUGAGUUGCAGUCUGACUUUAGACACGUGAUGCUCCAUCACCACCAACUCCCGCUCUAUCUUUCUCUCUAGCUCUCUCUCUCUGUGCGUGAGAGAGAGUUUGGAGAGAUGCAUAUUCAUCCAUGCAUUGUGGAUUCUGGCAGGCGCAGGGAGAAAAAGAAGAUGGAGAGACAGAAUUGGGCCAGUGAGUGGCAGAGCUCCCUGCAGCCUCAUUCAGAGUGCUGGAUGUCUGAGGAGGUACUGGAAGCCCCUGGGCAAAUACUGACAUCACUGGAUCGGCUUCCUCAUGUCUGGGAAGACAGCCCUAUAUCUCAAGAGAACAGAGCCCACUUUAUAUGAGGCUGCCAGAGGGCAGGCGCCAGGGAAGAGUGCAAGCUAGUGGGGAUGAGAGGGGCUCCAGCUCCAGAUGAAUGUGAAGAGCAACUUUUUGUCAAGAGUGUGAUGGAAAAUAAAUGUCAAGAGCUCAUCCCUGAAGUAUUUGGGUUUAGUUUCUCUCCGUGUCUGUUGGUUAACUUGAACGGAUUGAAACAAAUGCCAAACUCGGUGAAUGGUUAUCAUGAGAAGAGCACUGCAGGGAACAAGAGGCAUGAUGGGAGCAACAUAGUCAUGUUCAGAGGUUUAUACAGCCUGCAUUUUUUCUUUAUCUUGUAGAUUGAAACCAAGGCCUCCGUAUGUAGUGGUAGCUGAGAGUAGCUAAUAGUACAGCUGUAUUCUACACAGGAUUGUUUUUAGACUGCUUCCUUUGGUACCAUGGUUGUGGACACCCAGGGGUGGACAAGCUCGAGCAACCUAUGAUUUGUUU